GACGAACGCUGGCGGCGUGCUUAACACAUGCAAGUCGAACGGAAAGGCCCUGCUUUUGUGGGGUGCUCGAGUGGCGAACGGGUGAGUAACACGUGAGUAACCUGCCCUUGACUUUGGGAUAACUUCAGGAAACUGGGGCUAAUACCGGAUAGGAGCUCCUGCUGCAUGGUGGGGGUUGGAAAGUUUCGGCGGUUGGGGAUGGACUCGCGGCUUAUCAGCUUGUUGGUGGGGUAGUGGCUUACCAAGGCUUUGACGGGUAGCCGGCCUGAGAGGGUGACCGGCCACAUUGGGACUGAGAUACGGCCCAGACUCCUACGGGAGGCAGCAGUGGGGAAUAUUGCACAAUGGGCGGAAGCCUUAUGCAGCAACGCCGCGUGCGGGAUGACGGCCGUCGGGUUGUAAACCGCUUUCGCCUGUGACGAAGCGUGAGUGACGGUAAUGGGUAAAGAAGCACCGGCUAACUACGUG
rnacentral:rRNA from 1 species